CCACGCAUAUCUAUAUGUAUAGAUCCUUGAAAAAAGGUAAAAACCCCCUACGUGCGGAUUGUGCUGUUGUUGGCAUGCUAUUGAUCUGUUCGUGAGACUGCAAAACAAAUCCAUUUUAGUUAACCCGCUUGCAGUCCCGGUCGGGCUUGUCCUAGCAACUAGCUCGCAGUUUAUAUCUGUAUAUAACGGGUACGCACAUACCCGAAAAGGUUAAACCAAACAGCUGAGCUGGUGUAUUAUGUUACACUUCAAAAUUCUGAGCGAGGACGUGUGAACGAGAGAAUGGGUAUCUGCCGGAGUGGAAGAAUGGCUUCCAAAAGAGGUUCUGCGAUCAUGAUGCAGCACAGGAACUGCUCCUUUGUUCUUGGACUCGGGUGGUGGUGAUCACGCUAAUUGCGGCAGUUGCUUGCACCGAGAACGACCCCCCCAAUUCCAAUUCCAAUUCCAAAUAUGAGGAGGCCAAGGUGAAGAUCGAGCAUGCAGCGGGGACGGGGAAAGAGGGUGCGGAGUCAUGGGCAG
rnacentral:lncRNA from 1 species